AAAUACUAUGAUAUGUGUCACCAUGUAUUCAUGUAUGAUGGAAGAGAUAAAAAAAACCAAUUCACAAUAAAUGGUUCACUUAAAUAUAUAUGAAAUACACGUGGAGGCGUGACGCAAAAUGAAAUCUAUUGCCACUAGAUAAUGAUAAAUAUGUAUUUAGAGUAUGUUUUAGAAUAAUUAAUAGAUGAAAGAGGGCAUGAGAUAGAUAAUUAUAAUUUUUAGCUUUAAAUCUUAUUUUUAUUAGUCCAUGCGGGAGCACAUAGGCUUAUUUAUAAACACAAAAUGAAAGUUUUGAUUUACUCACUGUUUUUGCAUUUUUCUAUCAGUGCAUCAGCACCCCUUAAUUUCUAUAUUGCUUCGCCCCUUUCAGCAAUAUAAAUUGGAGCGUUGAUAAAAACAUAAAAUUGGACACUUCUAGAAGAACAUAUACAGAUUGUAUUGCGAGUAGAAGUAGAGCUAGAGCGCUUUGGGAGUAAAAGUUUUGGGCUGUUCUGGUGGUAGUUUGUGAGGAAAUUACGGUCAUGGAAUCUAGUCUUUUUGCUGCACCGACCAUGCACCAAAGACAAUGAAAAGUAGCCUUUUCAACUUACAUCUUAGCAUAUACGAACUUACCAACCAAUGCUUGUGGAAGCAUAAUUAGUAAAUUAUUAGCAGAGCGAAGUUACACACGGAACUUAAGUUUGCAUGACAUCAUUAAGAAACAAGCAGAAGUACAACAUAUUUUUCUCUCCAAUUCAGUUCGUUGGCAUAAUGAAGUAGUUUUAUCUUUUUCCAAGACAAUGUAAUCUUUAAUUACAACCAGAUUGGGUUCUAGCUCUUGCUGUGAAUGCGGUAAUAAGAUGUUGAAGGUGCCAUGGCGAACGGGCAGAAUAUUAUGGUUUCGGCACUUGUGGUCCAAGUGUUUUGGUGCCUCUGUGAUUAGUACCAUAUUGGUAAUCUAAGUAGGUUCUAUCUAGUUUAUAAGCCUUUGUGAUCCAACCAAAAAACCUUUGUGUUAACCAUUUGACAUGACAUGAGGAUGGAGCUAUAAGAGGUGAUUGCACCACUAGGUUUUACAAAAAACGAUGGAUAAAAGUUAAGAGAUGUGCUAUGCACUUGUGUGAGUGGGAAGUUAGGCUGAAUAUACUCUGUUCUUAACACAUUUGCCACGAAAAAAAAAAGCUAUUACUACAUUUGUAAGCUCCUAUUCAGUUAGCCUUUAGAUGAUUGAAGUGGUUUUGGUUCACUAUGCUUGGUACACACAUUUUUGGCUAAUUCUUUUGAAUUUUCAAAGUAAAGCAGCAAAUUCUGAUCCAAUCUAUAUAUUAUUAGCAGUGAUGGUUCUUAAACUAGAACGGAUUGUACAAAUAAGCGAUUAGUAUACACUCAGUUGACACAUAGAUGGUUAUUUAUAUGGAUGGUGAAAAUGCCUUCAUUUAUAAGUGGGUAUCGACUAUACAAAUUCAUUUCCAAAGUUGGUUUAGGAGCCCUCAGUCUGUAGUGAUCAUGCAUAUAAAAUUGCAACCACCAGUAUUAUAAAGUUGACAUGGCACUUCUGCACUUGUGCAAAAGUUAACUGUCCUUCCUUUAAAAACCGACUGUACUCUCCAGUUCUCUACAACUAGAAGCAGUCAAUCAAAACUAUGUGCCGUGCUGACCUUGUACAACUCGUCCUCUAUAUAUAUGCAUCUCUGUAAAGCAAGCUAUAUAUCAAAGUUACUCAUUCAUGAAGUGUUGGACAUACAUGAGACACACCUCGAUCUAUAGGCUUGGAAAGUACCGGGAACACCUAGCAUUUCUUUUGAAACAUAUGCACUGCUAAAAUAGAUGAUAUCUCUGCAGAGGGCGGCUGCUUGAGCAACAUACAUAUGUCAUCAACUACUCCAGGCUAUUUAGUGUGGAUAACUGUGAGUUCCCAGCACAUAGAAAGAUGAUGUUUGGGAUGUCGGUUAUAGAAGAAGAAACACCUGGUAUUGGAUAUAUUGCUAUAACAUAAAUGUUGUAGCGCAUAAAAGACGAGAGACAAUGCUCGUAACCUUCUUCCUGCAAAUAUACUAGAAAAAUAAACAUUUGUUCUAUGUUAUCCAUAAUUUUACUGUAACUUGAAGAUCCAAUAUAAGUGUCCUAAUCUUGGAAUAGAUAAGUGUGUAGCUAAAUGCUGGAUGAAGAAGUAACUAAGGCUAAACUAAGAAGAACACAGAUUUCAGAAUACAUAUAAAAAGUCUUUUAUUGGUACACUGCCUAGUAGUUCGAUGGAUGGUUGGUACAGAUCAAAGCAUAUUGCAAUUGCCCAUACCACAUACUCCCUCGGCUUCAAAAUUAGGCAUGCAUGUGAGCAUGUCGAACCAUCGUCAGUUUGACUAUGCUCAUAGAAAAUAAUAGCACGUUUAUGGUAUCAAAUUAGUAUUAUUGCAUCCUUAAUGAAAUUUAUUUUUCUAGUAUAUUUCUUUGAUGCGCUAGAUCUUGAUAAUAAUCUUCUAUCCAAACUCGGCCAAAUUCAGUAUAGUUUACAAAGCCUAGAAAUGCUUGUACUUGAGGACAGAGGAAGCAGCUAAUUCAGUAACAUGCACAUCACAAGGUAAUCUAAAAACUCUGAAUGCAGGAUAUGAGAAGGAUCUAUUGCAUCAAGUGGAAAAGUAUUCGCUGAGUUAAUAGUACUGUUGUUGUAGCCUUGUUGUUGUGUCUGGUUGGUUAUUAUGUGGAAUGUACUCUUACAAUUGUGGCAUUUUGUCAGGAAGCUUGAGAAAAGGUUCUUCUAUAUAUAUGAGUUUCAGUUCACAAUGUUACAACUGGUAAUUCAUUCAACAAACAAGAGUUGCCCCCUUUGUGCCGAGACAAGUAGGAUUGGAAGCCAUUGGGAAUAUUGGAUGGACUCUUUUUGGAUGAAUUGGAAGACUUAUGUGCUUUGCUCGCACACCGUCAUUCUCAGAGUCAAUUCAUUAGCCAUGAGUCUUCUUUUUCUUAUGAGAUGCAACUUGUGGCUGCAGAGAAACGAAUAUCGUCGCAGCUGGCCAGGCUUACGCGCUAGACCAAGAACCGGUAGCUGAAAUCCUUUGUCGGGCGACCAGGAUGGUAGUUACAGCUGAUUGCAAGUCACCCUAUGACUGACUGUCGUGCAAGGUGGUUGUCAACUGAAUCAGACGGUGCAAGUUAAAUUGAGAUGCAGAGCAGGGUAAAGCGCUUGCUUGUUCGUCAGUCCAGAGCUGUUGGUUCUCCACAUCAAGCGGCGCUAACUGUACGCCUCUCACAUUCUCCACUCUGUCUGAUCAAACAUUCCAUUUCUCACGCAUAUACAUAGGAUGGAGCGUCAUCAGGAGACAGACAACAAGUGACCAUGGGCUUUCUUGUUCCAUUCACUUCCAUGAUCCUGAGACAGUACUGUAACCAGCAACUGACGACGACAUGGAAAGUCUGCAAAUGGCAUUUUUACUCCUAUGUCAAAGAACUUUAUGUAAAUGCACAUAAUCUCUGCAGAUCGACUGAAACACAGUCAGUUUAUCACGCCAGCUCGGGCUGAAAGCGGUUUUGGGCUGGAGGGGGUUGGUCCGAGCUGGUCCCACUGAUGGGCUGAAAGUAGAUGUGGGCCAGUUCUGAAAAUGUGGUCCCAUGAGGAACAACUACUGAUAAAAGAGGUAGGGAAUUUGGCCUGGAAGCUGGAAUUGGUCUAGAAAAUUGUUUGGGGGUUUCUUUUUGGUGUGUUUGGAAUAUACAAAUUUGAACUGAAUUCAAAUAUAAACAAGG